ACAGCCUCAACCUUCUUGGUUUAUAUAGACCGGGGAAGGCUUGGACUUGGAGGUCUUUGCUUGCUGGCUUUGUUUGAAGCCAGCUCCUCCUAAAUAAAUUAGUGGGGUCCGCCGUGCCGAUCCUCGACGUGAUAAGUACGCUUCUACGUCUGUUGGCCUGGAAUCCUGCUUCCAACCGUCUUUGAAUGAAGACAAAUGUUCGGGUUGUGACUCGACCUUAUAAA
rnacentral:misc_RNA from 1 species